rnacentral:rRNA from 1 species
GAUGAACGCUGGCGGCGUGCUUAACACAUGCAAGUCGAACGGAGUACCCUUCGGGGUGCUCAGUGGCGAAUGGGUGAGUAACACGUAGGUGACCUGCCACGAAGUGGGGAAUAACGCCGCGAAAGCGGAGCUAAUACCGCAUGUGACCUGGCGUAAGCCAGGGGAAAGCUGUCCGCAAGGAUGGCGCUUGGUGAGGGACCUGCGGCCCAUCAGCUAGAUGGGAGGUAACGGCUCACCAUGGCGACGACGGGUAGGGGCCUGAGAGGGUGGACCCCCACCA